rnacentral:rRNA from 1 species
UACGUAGGGUGCAAGCGUUGUCCGGAAUUAUUGGGCGUAAAGAGCUCGUAGGCGGUUCGUCGCGUCGAAUGUGAAAACCCGGGGCUCAACUCCGGGCCUGCAUUCGAUACGGGCGGACUAGAGUUCGGUAGGGGAGAAUGGAAUUCCCGGUGUAGCGGUGAAAUGCGCAGAGUAUCGGGAAGAACACCCGUGGCGAAGGCGGAAUCUCUGGGCCAUUACUGACGCUGAGGAGCGAAAGCGUGGGAGCGAACGAGG